UACGGAGGGGGCUAGCGUUGUUCGGAAUUACUGGGCUUAAAGCGCACGUAGGCGGUUCGGCAAGUCAGAGGUGAAAUCCCCAGGCUCAACCUGGGAAUUGCCUUUGAUACUGCCGGACUAGAGUCCGGGAGAGGGUAGUGGAAUUCCCAGUGUAGAGGUGAAAUUCGUAGAUAUUGGGAAGAACACCGGUGGCGAAGGCGGCUACCUGGACCGGUACUGACGCUGAGGUGCGAAAGCGUGGGGAGCAAACAGG
rnacentral:rRNA from 1 species